GCGGGCGUAGCUCACCGGGUAGAGCGUCAGCCUUCCAAGCUGAAGGUCGCGGGUUCAAGUCCCGUCGCCCGCUCCA
rnacentral:tRNA from 1 species